AUUUUCACGUUUGAUUAAAUCAGUUUCGGUACUAUCAACAAAAAGAUAUAUGUCCAUUGCUCAUAUAUCUGGGCGAAAAUAAGUUAUUUGUUAUUGGUACAAUAUAAGAAUGAGUGACAAAACCAUUUCGAUCCAUCUUACAGGUCGGAAUAAAAAUUAAUUUGUAGUUCAUCAAAUUAUUUUUGUGUUCAAUCAAGCUCGCAAGCUCAGCAUGUCUCUACGCAUGUAUAAAUGCGUGCUUAAAUUACUAAAGAUUCUUAGUGGUCUACCAUACAUAAUCACAAAUAAAAACAUUGUUAUAAAAUUCAUUGUCAGGUGUCUAUUUCAACGGCAACUUAAACUCUCUCUUUGACUGCGAUUCAUCAUUUUUUAUUUUUUAUUUAUUUCGGCAAAUGUAUAAAUUAUAUAGAAAAUAUCGAUACCGACUCUGGUGAGACAGAACACUCUCCCAUUUUCAGAUAUUUGAACUUGACUAUCAUCAAAUCAAAUAACUGUGCUAUCAUCACAAAACAGCAUGUCCAAAUUCCAGUUUCGAACCAAUUUUUAAUCUCUUAAGCUGAACAAAACCAGGAAAAACGUCCAAUAGAAAUGUUCACAAUUCUUGGACACGAUUUUUUACUAAAUACGGUCGUCAGGUCAGUUUUGUUUUAGAUAUGGUUCGAGUAACUUUCGAGAUGAAGAUGAAUUUAUGUUAGAGUGUUCUGUGCAUUUUUGUUUUAAUUUCUUCGGAUCGCAUUAAUGGAUAUCCAUUGGAAGUUGACGUGAAUCAGCAAAAAAUCGAUCAGUUUUCCUUUUACUCGGAGACCGAAUCAUUGAGCUCUGAGUUGGGAUGCUAUGACAUAUUACACAAUGAAAUAGAGCAAUUAAAUGCGUAUUUAAGGCCAACAGUCACAGAGAAUCGAUUGCGAGACAGCGUUUUGACGGGUAUCAAGUCAGUGAUGUUAGAUAUUUGGCCCAGUGCACGUUUCGAAUUAUUUGGCAGCUAUGGUACUAGACUUUAUUUACCAAAAAGUCGUUGUGCUGGAGGUUUCCGAUCCCACGCCACGUCAUACAUUGAAGAAAACUUUCCUGGCCAGAAAUAUUGCCGAACCGAAUACAAUUUCAUUUGUCGAUAAAACGGCAUGGCCAAUCUUCAAGUUUACCGAACGUGAAUGUAAAAUAAAAUUCGAUGUUACAUUUAAUGAAGAUGAUGGGCGGAAGAAAUGGAAUUCAAUUCAUGAAUAUUUACAGAAAUAUCCAAUUUUACGGACACUAAUUAGGACGUUGAAAGUAUUUUUAGGUCAAUAAAAGCUGAACAACACAUUUAAAGAUGGUGUUUCAUCGUACGUCAUAAGUUUAAUAUGUAUCAGCUUCGUUCAAUUGCAUCUCCAUCACCGCAAAGUCAACGAAAACGCAAACCUAGGCGUACUACUUGAAGAUUUUUUAGAUUUUUAUGGCCGGAAAUUUAAUUACAAUGAUACGUGCAUCAGCAAUUUGAACAAUGGCCAAUAUUUUCCAAAGACAAAACGGCAAAAUUUCACAUUUGAAAAAAAACCGUUGGAUUUGUUAUGCAUUGAAGAUCCAACAACACCUGGUAACAAUGCAUAUUUAUCACCACACGGCAUAUCGAAAGUGAAACAAACAUU